UGCAUCCUGGCUCCUGGCGUCC
rnacentral:miRNA from 1 species